rnacentral:rRNA from 1 species
AGAGUUUGAUCCUGGUUCAGGAUGAACGCUAGCGGCAGGCUUAACACAUGCAAGUCGAGGGGUAGCAGGUUUAAAUUUCGGUUUAAAUGCUGACGACCGGCGCACGGGUGCGUAACGCGUAUACAAUCUACCUUAUACUGGAGGAUAGCCCUAAGAAAUUGGGAUUAAUACUCCAUAAUAUUAUUGGUCCGCAUGGAUUGAUUAUUAAAGCUACGGCGGUAUAAGAUGAGAAUGCGUCUGAUUAGCUAGUUGGUGAGGUAACGGCUCACCAAGGCUACGAUCAGUAGGGGGCCUGAGAGGGUUAUCCCCCACACUGGUACUGAGACACGGACCAGACUCCUACGGGAGGCAGCAGUGAGGAAUAUUGGUCAAUGGGCGCAAGCCUGAACCAGCCAUGCCGCGUGAAGGAAGGAUGUCCUAUGGAUUGUAAACUUCUUUUAUUUGGGAAGAAACCCCUCUACGUGUAGAGGUCUGACAGUACCAAAUGAAUAAGGACCGGCUAACUCCGUGCCAGCAGCCGCGGUAAUACGGAGGGUCCAAGCGUUAUCCGGAAUCAUUGGGUUUAAAGGGUUCGCAGGCGGUUUAUUAAGUCAGUGGUGAAAUCUCGAGGCUCAACCUCGAAAACUGCCAUUGAUACUGAUAGACUUGAAUAUAGUUGGAGU